rnacentral:rRNA from 1 species
UACGAAGGGUGCAAGCGUUACUCGGAAUUACUGGGCGUAAAGCGUGCGUAGGUGGUUUGUUAAGUCUGAUGUGAAAGCCCUGGGCUCAACCUGGGAACGGCAUUGGAAACUGGCUUACUAGAGUGCGGUAGAGGGGUGUGGAAUUCCCGGUGUAGCAGUGAAAUGCGUAGAUAUCGGGAGGAACAUCUGUGGCGAAGGCGACACCCUGGACCAGCACUGACACUGAGGCGCGAAAGCGUGGGGAGCAAACGGG